UAACACGGUCGACGCCAGGCACAAGAUCUUCCUGGUGACUCCAUGACGACGAGCACGGUGUGCGCGAGCGCAAUGGUUAAUAUGGCGACUACCGGCGCGGGAACUCCGGCGUGCAGGUCUUAGUAAGUGCAGGUGGUGUUUCCGGCUAGCGGCGAGUCCAGCUGCCUUCUACGUUGCCUCAUCUGGUAUGAAUUGAAUUUCUUCGUCAUCAACUGCUGAGGUAUUGUGCUUAAAACAACACUUUCAGAAAUGGCCAUCGUUACUCUAGGCAGCAUCCAGUUUGUUGGCCUGACGGUUAGCCGGUUUUCAGAUCAGAUUAGCAGUGCCAAUUGAGAUGACACGAAGCUGAUGCAAUGUAAAGUUUAGGAUGCAACAAGGGUGGCACUAGCACUGCCAAAGUAAAUAAGAACAGGGGCCCCUCCCGCAUGGUUUCGGUGAGCUUGGAUAAUGAAAACAUUCGACCUUUACUGAACUUAUUUCAUUCAGUAAAAAUAUGUGAAUUGAGGACUACAUUGGUUCUCUUUCCUGUGGGUGGAGUAUUGUUUUUAUGCAUGGCAUUCGUUUUAAAGGAAUGCCUAGGCGUUAUUUUUCCUCAACUGAACUAUUUUGUAGCUUCAGUUAAGUUUUGAUUUGUCCCUACAUUCAUGUUCAUAGAGAAAUUGUAUUAUCAUGUCCAUCUAGAGUAUGGUGCUUUGUUGAGGGUUUAGGAAGUU